rnacentral:rRNA from 1 species
AGUGAACGCUGGCGGUAGGCCUAACACAUGCAAGUCGAACGGCAGCACAGUAAGAGCUUGCUCUUACGGGUGGCGAGUGGCGGACGGGUGAGGAAUACUUCGGAAUCUACUUUUUCGUGGGGGAUAACGUAGGGAAACUUACGCUAAUACCGCAUACGAUCUACGGGUGAAAGCAGGGGAUCUUCGGACCUUGCGCGAUCGAAUGAGCCGAUGUCGGUUUAGCUAGUUGGCGGGGUAAAGGCCAACCAAGGCGACGAUCCGUAGCUGGUCUGAGGGGAUGGCCAGCCACACUGGAACUGAGACACGGACCAGACACAUACGGGAGGAAAAAGAGGGGAAGAUUGGACAAGGGGGGAAAGCCUAAUCCAGCCAGACGGCGUGGGGGAAGAAGUCCUUCGGGUGGUAAAGCCCGUUUGUUGAGAAGGAAGAGCAGCAGGGUAAGACCCCGCUGUUCUGACGGUACCCAAAGAAAAAGGAACGGCUAACUUCGUG